GCGGAGCCUGCCAGACCCUCGGCUAGAAUGGGGACCCGCUGUCCAGCCGAGGCUGGCGGAGGCGCACCGGGGGCGCAGAGGGCGAUGCUAGUAGUCUGGACCCAAAGGACUGCAGGAAGGAGACCGUGAGGAAGCGUCUGUGCCUGGGAAGCCCCAGCUCCUGCUUGGGCCAGGCAGCCAGCACCUACCUGAUCCCGGGGAACCGGAGUCCGGCGGCGGCAGGAGAGCUGCCAGGUAGGACGGCGGGCAAAGCGCUUCUUCAAGUUCCUGCGCUGGAGUCACCACCCGAGAGGCAUCGCCGUCUGGCGUUGGUGUCUGAGCAGAAGCCGCAGGAACCAGCGGGAGCAGCAGGAGGAGCUGCGGGACUCGUUUGCCGAGUCACGUAAUGAUCGGGUAUCAGAAAAAGACGUCAGCAUCCUAGUCCCUCAAGGAACAUAUUAACUAUUCUGUGCUGUCCUCUUGGAUGAUAAGAUCCGGAGUCAUCGACUUCUCAUAAACACCUUUCACUCAUACAAUCCAAUUUUUAAGAAGUCCAAUUGUUUUGAUGGUUUUCAAUUUCACCCGUUUCUCAAGGACAGCCUCACCAAUCAGAGCUCUGGUCUCUGGAAUUAAGCAUCAUCAAGCUCUCCUAUUAAUAAAUUUAAUUUAGAUCUCC
rnacentral:lncRNA from 1 species